UAAGGAAUAUUGGUCAAUGGACGCAAGUCUGAACCAGCCAUGCCGCGUGAAGGAUUAAGGCCCUCUGGGUUGUAAACUUCUUUUAUAGGGGAAGAAAUGUGACGGUUUUCCGUCACUUGACGGUACCAGAGGAAUAAGCACCGGCUAACUCCGUGCCAGCAGCCGCGGUAAUACGGAGGGUGCGAGCGUUAUCCGGAUUUACUGGGUUUAAAGGGUGCGUAGGUGGGCUUAUAAGUCAGUGGUGAAAUCUCCGAGCUUAACUUGGAAACUGCCGGUGAUACUAUAGGUCUUGAAUUAUCUGGAGGUAAGCGGAAUAUGUCAUGUAGCGGUGAAAUGCUUAGAUAUGACAUAGAACACCAAUUGCGAAGGCAGCUUACUACAUAUAAAUUGACGCUGAGGCACGAAAGCGUGGGGAUCAAACA
rnacentral:rRNA from 1 species